CCUACGGGAGGCAGCAGUGGGGAAUAUUGGGCAAUGGGCGCAAGCCUGACCCAGCAACGCCGCGUGAAGGAAGAAGGCUCUCGGGUUGUAAACUUCUUUUGUCAGGGACGAAGCAAGUGACGGUACCUGACGAAUAAGCCACGGCUAACUACGUGCCAGCGGCCGCCGUGAUACGUAGGUGGCAAGCGUUAUCCGGAUUUACUGGGUGUAAAGGGCGUGUAGGCGGGACUGCAAGUCAGAUGUGAAAACCACGGGCUCAACCCGUGGCCUGCAUUUGAAACUGGAGUUCUUGAGUACUGGAGAGGCAGACGGAAUGCCUAGUGUAGCGGUGAAAUGCAUAGAGAUCAUACAGAACACCGAUUGCGAAGGCAGCUUACCAAACUACGACUGAUGUUGAGGCACGAAAGCGUGGGGAGCAAACAGGAUUAGAUACCCUUGUAGUC
rnacentral:rRNA from 1 species